rnacentral:tRNA from 1 species
GCUUCUGUAGCUCAGUUGGUUAGAGCGCUGCACCGGAAUCGCAGGGCCGUAGGUUCAAUAUUAAUCCUACCAGAGGAC